CCUACGGGAGGCAGUAGCCGAGAAUAUUCGGCAAUGGGCGCAAGCCUGACCGAGUGACGCCGCGUGCAAGAUGAAGUCUUUCGGGAUGUAAAUUGCUUUUAAUUGGGAUAAACCCCAUGUAUUUGGGGAUGAUAGUACCAAUUGAAUAAGAGACUGCUAACUACGUGCCAGCAGCCGCGGUAAUACGUAGGUCUCGAGCGUUAUCCGAAUUUAUUGGGCGUAAAGUGUCUUUAGGCGGUUUUGCUUUUCUUUGAUUUAUCAUAGGUAAGUUAGACAGGUUUUCCUGCCUGAUUAGUCCAUUCUCAAAUAUCCUAGCUCAACUGGGAAGAGGGGGUGGAAACGGCAAAACUAGAGGGGGGGUAAGGUUAAUGGAACACAUAGUGUAGGGGUAAAAUCCGUUGAGAUUAUGUGGAACACCAAAGGCGAAGGCAAUUAACUGGCCCCUUUCUGACGCUUUCAGACUAAAGCGUGGGGAGCAAAAA
rnacentral:rRNA from 1 species